rnacentral:rRNA from 1 species
GACGAACGCUGGCGGCGUGCUUAACACAUGCAAGUCGAACGCUGAAGCUUGGUGCUUGCACUGGGUGGAUGAGUGGCGAACGGGUGAGUAAUACGUGAGUAACCUGCUCUUGACUCUGGGAUAAGCCUGGGAAACUGGGUCUAAUACUGGAUACGACAUGUCACCGCAUGGUGGUGUGUGGAAAGGGUUUUACUGGUUUUGGAUGGGCUCACGGCCUAUCAGCUUGUUGGUGGGGUAAUGGCUCACCAAGGCGACGACGGGUAGCCGGCCUGAGAGGGUGACCGGCCACACUGGGACUGAGACACGGCCCAGACUCCUACGGGAGGCAGCAGUGGGGAAUAUUGCACAAUGGGCGGAAGCCUGAUGCAGCGACGCCGCGUGAGGGAUGACGGCCUUCGGGUUGUAAACCUCUUUCAGCACGGAAGAAGCGAAAGUGACGGUACGUGCAGAAGAAGCGCCGGCUAACUACGUG